rnacentral:rRNA from 1 species
GAUGAACGCUGGCGGCGUGCCUAAUACAUGCAAGUCGAACGGAAAGACGCGGCGCUUGUGUCUCUGAUGUUAGCGGCGGACGGGUGAGUCACACGUGUAUACCCUCCCUAUCAUACUGGUAUAUCUUCGAGACACCGGAGCUAACCCCGGAUGAUAUUCUGAACCGCAUGGUUCAAAAGUGAAAUACGGUCUUUCUGUCACUUAUAGAUGGUUCGGCGCUGCAUUAGCUAGUUGGUACGGUAACGGCUUACCACGGCUACGAUGCCUAGCCGACCUGAGAGGGUGAUAGCCCACACGAGAGCUGGAACGCGGACCAGACUCCUACGGGAGGGCGCAGUCGGGUAUCUUCCGCAGUGGGCGAAAGCCUGACGGAACAACGCCGCGCGAGUGAUAGAGGUCUUCGGAUCGUAAAACUCGGUUAUUAGGGAAAAACAUAUGUGUAAGUAACUGUGCACAGCUUUACGGUACCUAGUCAGAAAGCCACGGCUAACUACGUG